ACGGGAGGCAGCAGUGGGGGAUCUUGCGCUAAUGCGCGAAAGCGUGACGCAGCGACGCCGCGUGGGGGAUGAAGGCCCUCGGGUUGUAAACCCCUUUCGGCAGGGACGAAGCGAAAGUGACGGUACCUGCAGAAGAAGUCCCGGCUAACUACGUGCCAGCAGCCGCGGUAACACGUAGGGGACGAGCGUUGUCCGGAUUCAUUGGGCGUAAAGCGCGCGUAGGCGGCUCGGAAAGUCGGUCGUGAAAGGCUGGGGCUCAACCCCAGGACUGCGUCCGAUACUUCCGGGCUGGAGGUAGGUAGGGGAGAUCGGAAUUCCUGGUGUAGCGGUGAAAUGCGCAGAUAUCAGGAGGAACACCGGUGGCGAAGGCGGAUCUCUGGGCCUUACCUGACGCUGAGGCGCGAAAGCUAGGGGAGCGAACAGGAUUAGAUACCCUGGUA
rnacentral:rRNA from 1 species